CGCGACCCACGAUUUUUUACCCACGACCCACGCCUUUUUACCCACGAUCCACGCCUUUUUACCCACGACCCAUGCCUUUUUACCCACGACCCACGCCUUUUUACCCACGACCCACGCCUUUUUACCCACGACCCACGCCUUUUUACCCACGACCCACGCCUUUUUACCCACGACCCACGCCUUUUUACCCACGACCCACGCCUUUUUACCCACGACCCACGCCUUUUUACCCACGACCCACGCCUUUUUACCCACGACUUACGACUUUUUACCCACGACCCACGACUUUUUACCCACGACCCACGACAAUCUACCCACGACCCACGACAUUCUACCCACGACCCACGACCCACGACUGUUAGCUAGUCCCUCCCAGAGGGGGCUGCAGUAAUCAAAG
rnacentral:lncRNA from 1 species